GUAGGGAAUAUUGGACAAUGGGGGCAACCCUGAUCCAGCGACGCCGCGUGAGUGAUGAAGGCCUUCGGGUCGUAAAGCUCUGUUGCAGUGGAAUAAAAAAAUGAAGGUACCCUGUGAGGAAGGAUCGGCUAACUUCGUGCCAGCAGCCGCGGUAAGACGAGGGAUCCUAGCGUUGCUCGGAAUCAUUGGGCGUAAAGAGGGCGUAGGUGGCUUGGUAAGUCAGGUGUGAAAGACCAGGGCUCAACCCUGGAAGUGCAUUUGAUACUGCUGAGCUUGAGUGUCGGAGAGGUUACCGGAAUACCUGGUGUAGUGGUGAAAUACGUAGAUAUCAGGUGGAACACCGGAGGCGAAGGCGGGUAACUGGACGAACACUGACACUGAGGCCCGAAAGCGUGGGGAUCAAACAGGAUUAGAUACCCGAGUAGUCC
rnacentral:rRNA from 1 species